AUAUGCUGCAGGUGCAGCAAGUAAGUGAGUAAAUAAAUACAUAAACUUAUUGAAGUGAAAUUCACAUAAUGUGCAAUUGGCCAUAUUUAGUUGAACAAUUUCAUAGUAUUUGAUACAUUCACAAUGUUGUGCAUCUGCCACCUCUAAUUCCCAAAUAUUUUCAUCAUUCUAAAAUAAAACCCCUUACCCAUUAAGCAGUUUCUUCACAUUCUCCCCUCAGCCCCUGGCAACCACUAAUCAGCAUUCUAUCUCUAUGGAUUUAUCUGCUUUGGAUAUUUCACAUAAAUGGAAUCAUACAAUAUGUGACCUUUUGUAUCUGACUUCUUUAGCAUAAUGUUUUGUGGGUUUAUCCAUGUAAGCAUUAUUUGUACUUCAGUUCUUUUUAUGGUUGAAUUAUAUUCCACUGUAUGUAUACACCACAAUUUGUUUAUCUGUUCAUUUGUUGAUGGAUGUUUGGGAUAUUUACACCUUUUGGUGAAUAGUGCUGCUGUGAACAUGUCUGUACUUGUACUUGUUUUCAGUUCUCUAGGCGUAGAACUAGGAGUGGAAUUGUUGAGUCACAUGGUAAUUCUUUGCUUAACAUUUUGAGGGCCUGCCAAACAGUGGUCUACAGUAGCUGAAACAUUUUACAUUAUCACCAGCAGUGUACAAAUUUUCAAAUUUCUCCAUGUCCUCACUAACACUUAUUUCUUUUAUAAAUUAUAGUUAUCCUAGUGGAUGUGAAGUGGUGCCUUAUGUGGUUUUGAUUUGCCCUUCACUAAUGACUAAUGAUGUAAAGCACCAUAUUUAGGCCACAGCAUUUGGAGGUUUUUAUUGUAGCAGAUUAAUCUACAGGCUAACUUAUACAAUUCUAGUGUGCCACUCAAAUAUUACCAUUUUCUGUUCCUGCUGUGAUAAAGAUUGGGAAGCACCAUGAUCUGCACCAUUUUUUCUUGGUCCCUUUUGCUAGCCCCCUCCUCACUGUCAUCAAGGGGAAAAUCCUUUCCCUCAUAUCCAUCCAGAUAUUUAGCUUAUUCUGGACCCAAGAUAUGGGAAUGCCUCUGAUUCUUACAGAAAAAUUGAGCAUAUAAUUAGUGUUAGCCAGAGGAAACCAUUGCCUUGCCUUGGGCAGCACCUGGCGUGAAUUUUGGCAGGCCCUGGUGUUUGAAGCCCCCAGGAUUCCCCCUCUACCAACCCUUCAGGAUUCCAGCACCCAUGAAAGACUGUACCUGCAUCAUGGGUCGCCCUCUGCCAUAGUGCUUCAACUGUUUCCUUCCUAUUUGGGAGACAGCCGCCUCACUCAAGACGACAGACUCUGUUUCUGCAGCCCUCACAAGUCUUUUUCUCCUGCUAUGCCUGACCUGAGACAAACAGCGACACCAGGACAAACGAGUGUCCCAAAGUUUAUCUACCAGCCUCUGAGGCCAGCUAUAACGAAGGCAAUGAGCUGCCAAAAGUAAGGUGAACUCUUAGCUUGCUGGCUCCCUGGACUACCAUCUCCAGAGCGCUCCUCUCCUAGGAAGAUCCUCCCACCUCUGGGGCUUGAAUCCUUCCUGUCGCCCCUCCUCUCCUCUCCACCACUUCCCCUGCUCCCCAGUUCCAAGCUUAUUCCUUUCCACCUCUGAUUUCAGUGCCCUCCGUCCCACCCCUUCCCCUAACGCCCCUUCUCUGUGCAAGAGCACCACUUGGAACCCCAGCCCCAGCUCGUCGCGCAGAUCAGGGUACGGGGCUGGGUUUGGCUCUGGGGCGUUUCCAGGAUCUCCCCUUGCGAAGGUGACAGCACUCUGGGCAUUGGCGUCUCCUUCCUAAACUACGAGCCCCAGAGGCCUUCGCGCUCGAGCGAUUCCAACCGUUCCCCUCCCGCAACUACAUUUCCCAGGGGCCACUGCGCCCGAGUCGGUUUUGUGACGUCGCAGCGUUGGUGCCACGGUUGUCUCGGGUGAGGCAGGUCCUAAAAGCAUCUUAGGAACAUGAAGAUCGACUAAGGUUCGGAGUUCGCUGUGGGAAUGAUGGGAAUUCCCCUUUUGGAAUCCUUUUCUGCUGAAGAUCAAGGAUUUGUAAAUAAUCAAGCUUUAAGAAACCAAAGGUGGAGCUUCUGUCGUGGCGCAGCAGAAACGAAUCCGAUUAGGAACCAUGAGGUUGCAGGUUCGAUCCCUGGCUUCGCUCAGUGGGUUAAGGAUCCGGCAUUGCUGUGAGUUGUGGUGUAAUUCACAGACGUGGCUUGGACAUGGCAUUGCUGUGGCUCUGGGUGUAAGCUGGCAGCUGUGGCUUUGAUUAGACUCCUAGCCUGGGAACCUCCAUGUGCCGCGUGUGCAGUCCUAAAAAGCAAAAAAAAACUCCAAAAACAAACCCCUCCCCCAAGAAACCAAAGGCAAUCACAGCUGAAUAAGACAUCCCUCAUUCAUGUCCCCACUGCAACAAUAUUAAUUUGGCAUCCAUCUGUGGGAUCCAGCACCAUAUGCCAAAGACUCAGAAGGAGUCUCAUCCACCCACAUGUUCGGUAAUAAGCAGAAAGAUCUCAGUCCUGGAUGAAGACCCUGAGAGGCAUGUGAACUGACUCUAGGCCCUCUUGGCCCUGGUUCUCCAGCCAUCAGAAAAUGACAGUCUUAGACAAGCACCCUAUAGAAGACAGAGACUUUGGGAAAGUGCAAGUCUCCAGCAAAGAAGUACCAGUACACAAAUAGAGCAAAAAAUACAAGUUUGGACUUAUCUGAAAAGGUAGGAGAAACAGUUUGAUUUUACCUACAUCACUCUUCUACCAAGGCAAUACAGCUUAGGGUCAAGAAAUAACUUGAUGCAUGAUUUCAUUCAUGAAGGAAAAUAAUAAAGUGUGGGUGAGUACCCUGCUUCUCCAGCUAUGUGGGAUGGUACCAAAGAGGCUCAUUUCUCUCUCACCACAUCCAGAGUACCAAAUUAUGAGCUGCAAGACUGGGGGGUGAGAAAAUCUGGGAGAGCAGUAGUUAACAUUCUCAUAGGAUAUUACAAGGAAGCAGAUCCAACAAACUGUGCUACCAACUCUAUCAAGAAGUCUGUUCAUGAUCCAAAGGGUAUACUUUGCCCAUCACAGAUCAGUCAAUUAGCCUACAGGUACUCCCAGAGCUCUGUGGGCCUCUCAUCUACAGCCAACCUCAGGCUGGCUCCCUGUGUGCACGCCUAAUGGUAGUGGUGAGACAGACCUUUGGCAGAUGGCAGGUGAGCACAUGCAGAGUACUGGCCUGAAUCUGUAAGCCAAGCAAGGACCAUAGAUGUGAGCUUUAGCACCAUCUUUAGGAAAACAAAAGGGAGUCUCUCCGCAACCUGGUGUGUUGCAAUAUGGAGAGAAACCAUACAAGCUUAAGAACUCUGCCAUAAGACGAAGUUCCCGUCGUGGCACAGUGGUUAAUGAAUCCGACUAAGAACCAUGAGGUUGCGGGUUCGAUCCCUGACCUUGCUCAGUGGGUUAAGGAUCCGGCGUUGCCGGGAGCUGUGGUGUAGGUUGCAGACGCAGCUUGGAUCCUGCGUUGCUGUGGCUCUGGCGUAGGCUGGUGGCUACAGGUCCAAUUCGACCCCUAGCCUGGGAACCUCCAUAUGCCGCGGGAGCGGCCCAAGAAAUAGCAACAACAACAACAACAAGAAGACAAAAAAAAAAAAAAAAAAAAAAAAAAACCAAAGCAAAGAAAGAAUCUUAAAAACAGCAAGAAAAAAGGUGUUUGACAUUUUCAGAAAACCCCCAUUAGGCUCAGUGUGGAUUUGUCAGCAGAAACUUUACAAGGAUGAUAUAUUCAAAGCGCUGAAAGAAGACUGCAAAACAAAAA